GGCGUGGGUGCUCGAAAGGUCUGCAAAACCUUUACUCAGCGGUUCGAAUCCGCUCGGCGCCUCCA
rnacentral:tRNA from 1 species